GGGAUAACGUCAGGGGUGAGAGUUCGCCGUACGAAGUUCACGCGAGGACUCCAGCGUCCCUGGCCCUUAGGCUGGCGGGACCUCAGAUAUUUUUCGCGUUUUUUUCCCUCGUGCGGCGGCGGCUAACUCUGCGAAGGCUGUAUCCCGACCGCGGGCCUGGCGGGGACGGGCAUGAGGGGUUUCGGUCGCAGCCAGUUCUUGGGAGGCUCGGGGGAGGACGUUCCGGCUUUCACGGGCGCCGACGGCGGCGGGGCGACGGAGCGCUCGAUCCUUUCCGCUCGUCUAGUGGUUAUCUGCUGCCACGAACACGUGCUGUGGAGCCUCUCGUGGAGCCUUUCUUGGGGCUUGCACUCUGAAGGAGCAGCUGCUAAUCGUAUCAGGCCACCAUGUUCUGCUCAGCAACAUUCUUCUUAAGAAGUACCAAGGGGGGAAAAUGUGGUGGAGUGGAAAGGGGACUGGCCUGUGUCCCCAGGACUGCUACAUGCAUGUAGUUGAGAGACACGGAUUUGAAUGCUGCCUUGAAUGCUUAUUACCAUUAUGACCUCAAACAAGUCAUUUAGCCUGUUGGAACCUCAACGUGUCAUCAACAAAAUGGGGAUAUUAGUAAGUUCCUUAGAUGCAUUGUAUGAUCUAAAUAACCCUAUUUAGAUCUAAAUAACCCUAUUUACCAAGAACAGUGCUUAGGAUAUAUCAGACACUCCGUACAUGUUAGUUCCCCUCUCUAAUGCAGUCCCCUUCCUCUUGCUGCCAUAUUCCUAAGCACUAGCCAGCAAUGCAACCUUAAAUCACUUUUCUUCUCUAGACCUCUAAAUGUCCUGAACUGUGCCAUUAAGUCACACUUUUCAUUUAUCUUUGCUCAGCCUCACCUUCCAUUCCCCUGAUAUCCCCACUAACCCUUUUCACUGAGAGCACUGAGAACUUCUUUUACCUCUUCCUUUGCUCCCACAUCUGGACUUACCUGCAUCCACCUCAGUCAUUUCUUCUGGUCUUGAGUGCGUUCCUCCCACUGAACACCAAUUCCUGUACUGGAUUCCAUCAUUUCUUGCCAUGUCCGCUAUCAAUUGUUUGCUCUCUCAUCUGUAAUUGUGUUUGCUCUCUCUUAUGGGCUUCUCUUACCCAAGACUCUUCUACUUAUAGAAAAAGUCCCUUCCUAGCUCCUUCAUCCUUCCUGUAGUUAUUUUUCUAUUUUCUCUCUCCCAGGUUUAGGAGGAAAAAAAAUAUGUGUGUUAUUUCCAUAUCACUCUGCUCAACCCACAGGUCUCUGUUACUGUCACACUACUGAGACUACAAUAGUGAAGGACAUCUACUUUCUUUUUUCCUCUUGGGAUCAUCUCAUGUACCCUCAUGGUUUUUUACUGUCGUCUGUAUACUGAUGCUCUCUUCUCUCUCUGCCAUACUUCUUACUUGAGCUGUAGAACCCUACAUUCAGUUGUGUGUUGGACAUCUCUACCUCAGUAUUCCACAGAUUCUACAACAUGUCCAUAAGUGAGCUGGAUUAAUCAUCUCUUUCCCCUCCUUCCCCCUGCUGUGGACACUCCCCUCCCAAUAAGCCUGCACUUUCUCCUAAAUUCCCUGACUUGGCUGGUGGAACGGCUACCCAUCCCAUUAACCAAAUAUGAAACCUGGGUAAAUCCCUGACACAACUUCCUCCUUUCUCCACAUCCAGCCCAUGACAUCUGAGCAGAGGACUGAACGACGAGGGGCCAGUCCUAAGAAGCUCUGUGGGAAGAUCUAAGGCAGGGAUGGCACUCUGCCUUUGCUCUCAUGGUAUUCUGCUCUGACCAAAUUGGCCCAGAUUUGCCUGACUCCUGUAUGCAGUGAUAUUAAGAGGAUUAUUUAUACAGGAAAACUUAAAAAAAAAUUUUUUUUAAUGUAUAUUUAUUUUUUAGAGGGGGGAGAGGC